rnacentral:rRNA from 1 species
UACGGAGGAUCCGAGCGUUAUCCGGAUUUAUUGGGUUUAAAGGGAGCGUAGGUGGAUUGUUAAGUCAGUUGUGAAAGUUUGCGGCUCAACCGUAAAAUUGCAGUUGAAACUGGCAGUCUUGAGUACAGUAGAGGUGGGCGGAAUUCGUGGUGUAGCGGUGAAAUGCUUAGAUAUCACGAAGAACUCCGAUUGCGAAGGCAGCUCACUGGACUGCAACUGACACUGGGGCUCGAAAGUGUGGGUAUCAAACAGG